AUGGAGGAACCUGCGAGACUUGCUUCAGAUCCUAAGAAACUAUUCAGCAGGAUCGUGGAUGGUAUCCUGGCAGUGGCAGAACAAAUCCCUAUAGAAUCUACUGCUGGGUGGGCUAACCUCGCGAAUGUAGAAAGAUGGGAGAAGGAAGUUCAGUGGAUAACAUUGAUGUGGCAGAGUCGGCUAAAUGGGAUACUAGGGGAUCAAAUGGGCUCUCAAGGAAUGAUCCCAGCACUUUCGUUUCUUGCUGAUCUCAAACGGAAUGGUCAGCAUGGUCCGUACAUGAUAGUUACUUCUAUGGAUCACAAUGGUGUUUUGUCCUGGUCGAAUUUUAUAAGGGAGCAUUCAAAUAUGAAGGAAAUGGUUUAUCUUGGAAACCGAUCGUGUCGGGCAAGGUUGAGGAAAGAGUUUGGGCCCAAAACUGUUGGCCCUGAUUUCCCCAUCAUAGUGACUACAUAUAACAUGGUCCUGGUAGAACAAAAAUGGCUAGCAAAGUGUGAGUGGAAAUACGUUAUUGUGGACGAGGGUCAUGAACUGAAGAAAUGGGAACGUGAAAUGUUGGAGGAGGUAAAGCGCCAGCCAAUGGGUCCAAUGGGUCAUAAGCUCCUUUUGAUGAGGGAACCUUUUCAAAAUAACCUAGCUGAGCUGUGGUCACUAUUGAACUUUGCUCUGCCUGAUGCGUUCUCAUCUCGUGAGGGAUUUGAUUCAUGGUUUGAUAAAUCUGGGAAAGAAGUUGAGGAACAACAAACUGAAGAGGAAAGAAGGACCCUUCUUUCAAAGCUAAAUGCCAUUUUGCGCCCAUUCCUUCUACGGGGCAUGGAGCGGGACGUAGUAAAGAAGACUAAAGUUGUCCAGAACUCGGAUGCAAUUAGUGUUACAUGCUCAAAUGACCAUGCAGCAACAAAAGGCGCAAGGACUGAUGCUGGGAGUUGUCAAGAGGUAGCAGCAAGAGUUGUUGGUGUUACUGGUGAUGAAGUAGGCCUGGAAGUGGAAGCUAAUAAGGCUAUUAAGAGGCCACGAACAAAUGAUGUAUCUAUCUCCCUGGUCAGCGAAAGAAAUCCGACUGUGCGUGUGCAAAUGGCGAAGUCAUCUUCCUCUGAAUCAAUCUUCAAGGCACUCAAAGAGAUACCUUACUUGGCCCGUACUGAUAUUCUGAGAGCCUACAGUUGUCUUAUCCGUGAUGAUCGCCUAUUGGAAUCUCUUAUGGCGCUCCCAAUGGACAUGAGAAAGGAUUGGCUGCUCAUGGAGAUUGGAAGCAAGUAG
rnacentral:rRNA from 1 species